GACGAACGCUGGCGGCGUGCUUAACACAUGCAAGUCGAACGAAGAGCGAUGGAAGCUUGCUUCUAUCAAUCUUAGUGGCGAACGGGUGAGUAACGCGUAAUCAACCUGCCCUUCAGAGGGGGACAACAGUUGGAAACGACUGCUAAUACCGCAUACGAUCUAAUCUCGGCAUCGAGGAUAGAUGAAAGGUGGCCUCUACAUGUAAGCUAUCACUGAAGGAGGGGAUUGCGUCUGAUUAGCUAGUUGGAGGGGUAACGGCCCACCAAGGCGAUGAUCAGUAGCCGGUCUGAGAGGAUGAACGGCCACAUUGGGACUGAGACACGGCCCAGACCCCUACGGGAGGCAGCAGUGGGGAAUCUUCCGCAAUGGACGAAAGUCUGACGGAGCAACGCCGCGUGAGUGAUGACGGCCUUCGGGUUGUAAAGCUCUGCUAAUCGGGACGAAAGGCCUUCUUGCGAAUAGUGAGAAGGAUUGACGGUACCGGAAUAGAAAGCCACGGCUAACUACGUG
rnacentral:rRNA from 1 species